CUGCAGCCAAUUAAGAUGACCAGGUUGCUUUCCUCAUGGGGGCCUGGUGAGCAUUGGCUGCAAACGGCAGCCACCACGAUGGUAUACACAGCACGCUGCCAAUCUGAAUUGCCCUAAGGGACCAUGGAGAUACUU